GCAGUAUAACCCGUGGUCCAUUACAAUAGAACUGCAGCAAAGACAUUACUGCCGGUAGCAAUUAUUUUCAAAUGAUCGGAGUGUAUUUAACGGCUCCUACGUGACGGAAUUUCCAACGCUCAUUAAACUUAAUACUUAGCAUUGUAAAGUGUAAACUAUAUGGAAGUUAAAAGGCUUUAUUUUAUAUUUGGUAAACAUUUUAUAAACAAUAGAACUUAAGCCCAGAAUCUUUCGGUAAUAGAUAAUUAAUAUUGUAAUCCACUACAAAAUAUAUGUAUGUUUUUAUAGAUACAUAUCGUCACCUGAAAUGCAAAAAGACGUAACAUAAAUUUUCGCUGAAAUACAAAAAGUCGUAAAAAUUCAAAAUUCACUUUUUCUUUAGAUAUAAUGAAAAAAAAAUUAUUAGUCACGACUUUUUCCAUUUCAGUGACAAUGUUUGUUACGCCUUUUUGUAUUUUUGGUGUCGGAUAUGUACAUAUGUAUGUAAAUAUAUCGCUCAUUUACUUCAAUAGUGUCAUUAUGUCAAAUUUAUAAAUUUUUGUGCGAGUAUGCAGAAAUUACAGCUACAUUUCAUAGCUCUAGCGAUUACUAGUAUCUCACUUGAACAAAAUAUGUAUUAACUUUUACUAUGGGAGUAUAUUGAGGGCUUAUUUCAAUACGAUCUAUCUACAGUUUUCACAAAAAUAAGAUUCCUAUAUAAAGAUGCAACUUAAAGCAUAAACUGACGGCAGCAUCGAUCCGGAUCAACUCGUUAAUUCGGAAUUGCCUCGGGAAUUAACUGCAUUUGAUCCGAAUUAAGUCCUAGAUUUAAUUACCAAAACUUAACUAGGAUCAAGAGAAUAUUCGAUGACAACACCGACCGAAACUUAGAGAGCGUAGAAUACAGAGAAAGAGCAAAGCAAGCAUGGGCACAUACCUUUUUAUCGUUAAUGCAGUUACCAUACUAAUUCAAAUAGGAAUCCAAUUGAAAUUGAAUAAAAACUUAUUUGAAUUAAUACGGUGACUGCAUUUCCGACGACAAGGUGGAUGUCAAUGCUAGUGUUAAAUUUUCUUCGUGUUCUACGCUCUCUGAGUAAACAAAUACGCAAACACAGCAGUUCGAUCCCCAAAAAAUUCCAAAAAAAAAAUUAGUUUUUAUUGUUACUUAAAUUUUUUAGUUUUAUUUGAUUGAUAUAUUUAAUUUAACUUUAUUUUAUUUUCGUUUAUUUUAUUUCACAUUUUUUAUUUUAUUUUAGUUAAUUUAAAAUUUUAGAGUUUAAUUUUACUAAAAAUGUCAAAGACAACUAACACUAAAAACACGCGUCGAUAAUCCAGAUCAACGUUGCCGUCUCUCUAUGCUU